CACCUUCAUUCUCUCUCUCUCUCUCUCUCUCUCUCUCUCUCUCUCUCACUGAAAAGCCAUCUGAUUCUCUCAUACUGAAGCAUCACGAUUCACGAAUCAACACCAAAAAAAUAUAUUUUUUGAAGGAUUUUUCAGCCCCAGUUUCAAUUUUCAAGUGGAUUUUGGCUUGGCUUCGAUUUACCAUUGUUCGCACAUUUGGCACAGUCAACACUAUGUUCCUCGUGAUCGCACUUGAAGUUUUAUAAGAAACGCGGAGAUCGAG